GAAUUGUUAUCUUGUAGGAGCCAUGCACUGCACAGAACUGGACAUACCCGAGUGUCCUCUCAAAGAGUUUCUUCUGAGGUGCCUUAGAGUGUAAUUAGGGCCAUGCUGGGUACAGAUUUCUGCACUAGUGGGGUCCUCUCUGUCCUUGGGUUGAGUUGGAGAGGUCAGUUUCCUUUUUGUAUUAAGCUUUUUCUCUCUUCAUUGCUGGAGAAAUGAUCCACAUAGGAAAAGACCAGGAGGCGGACUGGCGGUUGUACUCCGUUCCGUGUGGUUCAAGUCAGCACUGCUCUGCUAAUUACACGUUUGUGCCGAGGGGUGGAACAUUUUAAUUCAUUAACACAGAGCAUGUAUUUUUCUUAAAAGUGCUGUGUUUGAAGUUGUGAGACUCUCAGCUGCCCUAGCAGUGACUGGUUCUGUGAAAAUAGACGGGCGCAUGGGUACUUCAUAUAAAGCAAGGUUUCGGUCCUAGUAAAAGGCGACAGAAGAGGGUGUUUGCAGAAUGGUUCAGGCGUUGUGUCGUCUCCUCUCUCUUCAGCACGUCUGCUGUGACUGCAAGAAGGACUUUUGCUCCCUUUGUUCGGUCUCACAAGAAAACCUCCGCAGAUGCUCUACAUGUCACCUACUCCAAGAGACAGCCUUCCAGCGCCCUCAGUUGAUGAGACUAAAAGUGAAGGACCUGCGGCAGUAUCUGCUCCUCAGAAACGUACCGACCGACACUUGUCGCGAGAAGGAGGACUUAGUGGAUCUAGUGC
rnacentral:lncRNA from 1 species